GAUGAACGCUGGCGGCGUGCUUAACACAUGCAAGUCGAACGAAGCACCUUGAUUUGAUUCUUCGGAUGAAGAUCUUGGUGACUGAGUGGCGGACGGGUGAGUAACGCGUGGGUAACCUGCCUCAUACAGGGGGAUAACAGUUAGAAAUGACUGCUAAUACCGCAUAAGACCACAGCACCGCAUGGUGCAGGGGUAAAAACUCCGGUGGUAUGAGAUGGACUCGCGUCUGAUUAGUUAGUUGGUGGGGGAACGGCCUACCAAGCCGACGAUCAGUAGCCGAGCUGAGAGAGUGACCGGCCACAUUGGGACUAAGACACGGCCCAAACUCGUACGGGAGGGAGGAGUGGAGAAUAUUGCACCAUGGGGGAAGCCCUGAUGCAGCGACGCCGCGUAAGCGAUGAAGUAUUUCGGUAUGUAAAGCUGUAUCAGCAGGAGAGAAAAUGACGGUACCUGACUAAGAAGCACCGGCUAAAUACGUG
rnacentral:rRNA from 1 species